rnacentral:rRNA from 1 species
UGGGGAAUUUUGGACAAUGGGCGAAAGCCUGAUCCAGCAAUGCCGCGUGUGUGAAGAGGGCCUUCGUGUUGUAAAGCACUUUUGUCCGGAAAGAAAUCCUUGGCUCUAAUACAGUCGGGGGAUGACGGUACCGGAAGAAUAAGCACCGGCUAACUACGUGCCAGCAGCCGCGGUAAUACGUAGGGUGCAAGCGUUAAUCGGAAUUACUGGGCGUAAAGCGUGCGCAGGCGGUUUGCUAAGACCGAUGUGAAAUCCCCGGGCUCAACCUGGGAACUGCAUUGGUGACUGGCAGGCUAGAGUAUGGCAGAGGGGGGUAGAAUUCCACGUGUAGCAGUGAAAUGCGUAGAGAUGUGGAGGAAUACCGAUGGCGAAGGCAGCCCCCCUGGGGCCAAUACUGACGCUCAUGCACGAAAGCGUGGGGAGCAAACAGGAUUAGAUACCCUGGUAGUCCACGCCCUAAACGAUGUCAACUAGUUGUUGGGGGAUUCAUUUUCCUUAGUAACGUAGCUAACGCGUGAAGUUGACCGCCUGGGGGAGUACGGUCGCAAGAUUAAAACUCAAAUGAAUUGACGGGGUCAUAGCUGUUU